UACAGAGGUCCCGAGCGUUGUUCGGAUUCAUUGGGCGUAAAGGGUGCGUAGGCGGUUUUCUAAGUUUGAUGUGAAAUCCCGGGGCUCAACCCUGGAAUUGCAUUGAAUACUGGGAGACUAGAGUACUGGAGAGGAAACUGGAAUUUACGGUGUAGCAGUGAAAUGCGUAGAUAUCAAGUGGAACACCAGUGGCGAAGGCGAGUCUCUGGGCCGAUAUUGACGCUGAGGAGCGAAAGCGUGGGGAGCGAACAGG
rnacentral:rRNA from 1 species